AGCCACCAGGGUAGCUAGCCAUCCACAUGACUUUAAGAGCUGUCCCCAGCGGAAACAGCCUGGCCUUUCUGCCCCUGUUGCCCUACUCUGCUUGGGGGCCACUUGGAAGUGUGACAAGCUAAGUUGACAGCUGCAGAGGCAGUCUGUAGGGGCCGAUGGUUGAGGUGCUCCUUUACUCUCUAUGUGUUAAGGAUGCUCAUACGCAGGCAGCUACACCUUAGGACACCUCCCCCCUAGAAGAGGCCCCUUUCCCAGCAUUAAGACGAAACAAAAGCAAAACGGAACAGCAAACAACAACAAAAAACGAAAAGCCUGUCACCGACAGGGCUCCAGGCAGUGUGCCGCUGAUCAUCUACCCUGUGGCCCCUUCUAGGCUGCGCUCGUGUCCCGCAGUCAGUAGCAGAGCCAGCGGUCCUGUUGCAGGGCGGCCUGGUCCCUACCUUUCUGCACAGCAGCCUCAUCUCUCCCAUGCCCACUCCUCUCGCCUGCCUACAGCCUGUCUCAGCCCCUCCUUCCUCCAAGGCCGGCCUCGGUGUACGCUUGUGCAGACAUGGACGAAUGCCAGGUCUGAGCCGAGAGCUCCCUUCCCAGCCCUGCCUGGGCUUGCCACGCCCCAGGAUACAUCAAGGUGUGUGUUCUUCGGUUCUGGCACAGGCCCCCAGUGUGAGGAGGAGGCUGGUCCGCAAAGACAGACUGAAGAUCAGCAGCUCUGCAGGAAUCCUCCAGGGCUCCGAACAAGACUGGGAUUGCAGAGACAACCAUCUUUGUCUGGAAUGCUUCAGAACGCAGACAACCGCUGGACUGCCUAUCCUGUAUCAUUCGAGCAAACCUAAUAAACCUGUCUCCUCAGUCAGUGA